rnacentral:tRNA from 1 species
AGAGUUAUAGGUUAAUUCAAACCAUUGGCCUUCAAAGCCGAAAAUGAACUUUCUGACUCUGAACUUUA